GUAUCUUCUGGCAGGGCACCACAGUGGUGCUCACAGGAGCAGCCCUGGAGAUGAUCUGCACUUACUGGCUGUGAGGAGGCUGGUGGACAUCGGGACAUGCUCCCUGCAGACAGCCCUGUUCUACAUUUGCUCUUGUGGAAGGCAGCCCCUGCUACGGGCAGAGCAAGAGCAGCACAAAGCGCUGCCGAUGGUCCCUUCAGACAUCCUGAGGGAGGGCAAGAGAGUGGCCACAGCAUCAACGGGGAACUUUUCCAAACCUAGGAGCAGAGGCGUACUGGAAGGAGAAGAGCCUUAACAUAACAGGAGGGAGUGGGGGUGAUGGGAGAACAGGAGGCUGCCGGACUGCAAGGAGCAAGGUUCAGAGGAUGUGUCCUCGGCCAGGACCCGCGUGCUGAGAGCUCGCUGAGGCUGCGCUAGCCAGGCUGGCAGUGACUGCGAUGCCCGCUGUGCCGCCCUGGGUGACAGAAGAUUUGUGCCUGGGCCACUCGCAGACACCGCCUGAAGCACUGCGGGUGCCAGCAGAAAGCUACAUCUUCAAGGAGUGCCGCUUGAUGUUAUGGCCACUGGCUGUGUCCUCAAACCACAACCCAGAACAUUUCCAGUUCCAGAGCCUGGCCUCCUUCUACAAGGUCUCCAGAGCCAGGGCUGUGGUGGCCAGGGCUGUUCCUUGGUGGUGCCAAGCUGGUGAAAAGCCAUCACCCUGCCCUACAGACACCCUAGAGGUCGGCUGUGACCAUGGGGGACACGAGCCACGAAGGCUUAGAUAAAUAUCACUCAAAUCAUGGAGUCUGAUUCAUGAGUCAGGACGAUGGCAGCUCUCCAAAACCUCCUUGCCCAUGGAGAGUGUGUUUGUGUGAGAGAGAUAGAGAGUUUCACUGUAUGAAGAGUAAGAAACUGGAAGCCAAGUGAAUUAAAUACAAAGCAGAUAAUUAUGUGUAAUUCAUUUACUGACUAAUGAUUGCACCUGGUACGGAGGUUUAUGAAUUCAUUUCACUCUGCACAGGUUUUCAAAAACAAUCUCCCUGCUACAAGAUAAAAACCAGGCUGACGCUUCUUAACAGACCGGGGUUUACGUUAGUGUUAUUGUAAGAUUCUGGCUCAUUUCUUGUUUUAUCUUCUGACAUUUCACUUUUCCUGGGUUCACCUGUGACAGUUGCUCAGUGCUGGUGGAGGCCGGGUGUCACUGAGAAAGGAGCCAUCGCUGGGCUCCUGAAAGCAGCUGGUGCAAUCAGCCCCGAAUCAUUGGCAAAGUCGAAAUAGCAUAUGAUAAAAAAAGGGCCUCGUGUCCAAUUUUUGCAGUGUGUGUGUGUGUGUGUGUGUGUAAAUGACUCGCUCCUUCUUGCAGAACCAUUAACCCACACGGGUUCAUCCCAGUUCAAAAUGUAUCUCUUAUAUCACAGUGUGUCUUGGCUCCAGUUUUACGUGUCAAAACCCCAAUUAAAUCUAAUAUAGCAGCUAACAUUGGACUCCCUCAGUAUGUUGAUGUGGUGAUAAAUAUUUUUUUUAAUUCAGAAAAUCAGGAUUUUUGAGAAGAGGGGUUAAACGCCUCCUGAAAAGAUGCAUUUUUUGAUGCAGUUCAUUUCUAUGCACCAGAUGGGCACCGUGUAGAUCUUAGUUAAAAACCAAGUCCUGGUUUCUUUUCAAUUUAUGAAAAUACUCACUGAGCAAUUGAAAAGAACUGAGUAACUGUGAUCUUUCUGCAAGUAAUGCUCUGGAAAAGCCAACUACAGGCAGUAAGCAAGCUUGAAAUUAGUAGUUCU
rnacentral:lncRNA from 1 species